AUCGGAAGGUGCGGCUGGAUCACCUCCUUUCUAAGGAUUGAGUAGAGAUUUGUUUCACUGUUCAGGUAUUAAUCCUGAAUUGAAUAUGAUUUCCGGUGGCGAUGCGGUUAGGGGUAACACCCGUACACAUCCCGAACACGAUGGUUAAGACCUAAUCGGCCGAUAAUACUACGUUGGAGACGACGUGGGAAGGUAGGUGGCUGCCGGGUUUGCUUAAACAGCAAACGAUGUUUGCUUUCAUAUAUAAACAUCACCGCCAAGCGCGGCGAUCAUUAGAGGAUUCAGCAAGCUGAGUUUUCUAAUGGUCGAAAGACCAAAAUAGCAACUUGAAAACUUCAUACAGUAGAGAUAAUGAUUUUAAGAUAAUCUUAAAUAUCAAGACAUCCGAGAAAAUUCGUGAUUUUUAAGUGAAAACGUAAAAAAUCACGAACAAGAAUUAACAAACCAAACAAGUUCUUAUUGAACAAUUAAAAUAUCGAAGCUACAUAUUUUCGAGAUUGA
rnacentral:misc_RNA from 1 species